AGAGUUUGAUUAUGGCUCAGGAUGAACGCUGACAGAAUGCUUAACACAUGCAAGUCUACUUGAUCCUCGGGUGAAGGUGGCGGACGGGUGAGUAACGCGUAAAGAACUUGCCUUACAGACUGGGACAACAUUUGGAAACGAAUGCUAAUACCGGAUAUUACGAUUGGGUCGCAUGAUCUGGUUAUGAAAGCUAUAUGCGCUGUGAGAGAGCUUUGCGUCCCAUUAGUUAGUUGGUGAGGUAACGGCUCACCAAGACGAUGAUGGGUAGCCGGCCUGAGAGGGGUGAACGGCCACAAGGGGACUGAGACACGGCCCUUACUCCUACGGGAGGCAGCAGUGGGGAAUAUUGGACAAUGGACCAAAAGUCUGAUCCAGCCAAUUCUGUGUGCACGAUGAAGUUUUUCGGAAUGUAAAGUGCUUUCAGUUGGGAAGAAGUCAGUGACGGUACCAACAGAAGAAGCGACGGCUAAAUACGUGCCAGCCGCCGC
rnacentral:rRNA from 1 species